ACUUUAACACUGAGGCGUGAUGACGAGGCACUACGGUGCUGAAGCAACAAAUGCCCUGCUUCCAGGAAAAGCCUCUAAGCAUCAGGUAACAUCAAAUCGUACCCCAAACCGACACAGGUGGUCAGGUAGAGAAUACCAAGGCGCUUGAGAGAACUCGGGUGAAGGAACUAGGCAAAAUGGUGCCGUAACUUCGGGAGAAGGCACGCUGACACGUAGGUGAAGUGAUUUACUCAUGGAGCUGAAGUCAGUCGAAGAUACCAGCUGGCUGCAACUGUUUAUUAAAAACACAGCACUGUGCAAACACGAAAGUGGACGUAUACGGUGUGACGCCUGCCCGGUGCCGGAAGGUUAAUUGAUGGGGUCAGCGCAAGCGAAGCUCCUGAUCGAAGCCCCGGUAAACGGCGGCCGUAACUAUAACGGUCCUAAGGUAGCGAAAUUCCUUGUCGGGUAAGUUCCGACCUGCACGAAUGGCGUAAUGAUGGCCAGGCUGUCUCCACCCGAGACUCAGUGAAAUUGAACUCGCUGUGAAGAUGCAGUGUACCCGCGGCAAGACGGAAAGACCCCGUGAACCUUUACUAUAGCUUGACACUGAACAUUGAGCCUUGAUGUGUAGGAUAGGUGGGAGGCUUUGAAGUGUGGACGCCAGUCUGCAUGGAGCCGACCUUGAAAUACCACCCUUUAAUGUUUGAUGUUCUAACGUGGACCCGUAAUCCGGGUUGCGGACAGUGUCUGGUGGGUAGUUUGACUGGGGCGGUCUCCUCCUAAAGAGUAACGGAGGAGCACGAAGGUUGGCUAAUCCUGGUCGGACAUCAGGAGGUUAGUGCAAUGGCAUAAGCCAGCUUGACUGCGAGCGUGACGGCGCGAGCAGGUGCGAAAGCAGGUCAUAGUGAUCCGGUGGUUCUGAAUGGAAGGGCCAUCGCUCAACGGAUAAAAGGUACUCCGGGGAUAACAGGCUGAUACCGCCCAAGAGUUCAUAUCGACGGCGGUGUUUGGCACCUCGAUGUCGGCUCAUCACAUCCUGGGGCUGAAGUAGGUCCCAAGGGUAUGGCUGUUCGCCAUUUAAAGUGGUACGCGAGCUGGGUUUAGAACGUCGUGAGACAGUUCGGUCCCUAUCUGCCGUGGGCGCUGGAGAACUGAGGGGGGCUGCUCCUAGUACGAGAGGACCGGAGUGGACGCAUCACUGGUGUUCGGGUUGUCAUGCCAAUGGCACUGCCCGGUAGCUAAAUGCGGAAGAGAUAAGUGCUGAAAGCAUCUAAGCACGAAACUUGCCCCGAGAUGAGUUCUCCCUGAGACUUAGAGUCUCCUGAAGGAACGUUGAAGACGACGACGUUGAUAGGCCGGGUGUGUAAGCGCAGCGAUGCGUUGAGCUAACCGGUACUAAUGAACCGUGAGGCUUAACCUUACA
rnacentral:rRNA from 1 species